rnacentral:rRNA from 1 species
ACGACGUCGCGUGUGGGAUGAAGGGUUUCGGCUCGUAAACCACUGUCAGACGGGAAGAUGGGGUUGACGAUUAAUACUCGUCGAUCUUGACUGUACCGUCAGAGGAAGCACCGGCUAACUACGUGCCAGCAGCCGCGGUAAUACGUAGGGUGCAAGCGUUACUCGGAAUCAUUGGGCGUAAAGGGUGUGUAGGCGGAACAGUAAGUCAGAUGUGAAAGCCUUGGGCUCAACCCAAGAAGUGCAUUUGAUACUGCUGAUCUAGAAUUCAGGAGAGGAAGGAAGAAUUCCCGGUGUAGAGGUGAAAUCCGUAGAUAUCGGGAGGAAUACCGGAGGCGAAGGCGUCCUUCUGGACUGAUAUUGACGCUGAGACACGAAAGCGUGGGUAGCAAACAGGAUUAGAUACCCUGGUAGUCCACGCCCUAAACGAUGGUUACUAGAUGAGGUGGGAUUUGACCCCUGCCGUAUCGAAGCUAACGCGAUAAGUAACCCGNCUGGGGAGUACGGNCGCAAGGCUAAAACUCAAAGGAAUUGACGGGGGCCCGCACAAGCGGUGGAGCAUGUGGNUUAAUUCGAAGGCACGCGAAGAACUUUU